GGGGAUCUGCCCGAUAGAGGGGGAUAACCACUGGAAACGGUGGCUAAUACCGCAUAACGUCGCAAGACCAAAGAGGGGGACCUUCGGGCCUCUCACUAUCGGAUGAACCCAGAUGGGAUUAGCUAGUAGGCGGGGUAAUGGCCCACCUAGGCGACGAUCCCUAGCUGGUCUGAGAGGAUGACCAGCCACACUGGAACUGAGACACGGUCCAGACUCCUACGGGAGGCAGCAGUGGGGAAUAUUGCACAAUGGGCGCAAGCCUGAUGCAGCCAUGCCGCGUGUAUGAAGAAGGCCUUCGGGUUGUAAAGUACUUUCAGCGGGGAGGAAGGCGAUGCGGUUAAUAACCGCGUCGAUUGACGUUACCCGCAGAAGAAGCACCGGCUAACUCCGUGCCAGCAGCCGCGGUAAUACGGAGGGUGCAAGCGUUAAUCGGAAUUACUGGGCGUAAAGCGCACGCAGGCGGUCUGUUAAGUCAGAUGUGAAAUCCCCGGGCUUAAUCUGGGAACUGCAUUUGAAACUGGCAGGCUUGGGUCUUGUAGAGGGGGGUAGAAUUCCAGGU
rnacentral:rRNA from 1 species